UGAUCCAGCUGUAGUCUACUCAACAAUGAGAACUGAAGACGUCAGUUAUGGACAAAUCAUCAUCAAAGACAAGAAGAAAACAUCAAAGAUGAGAGAGAGUGAUCCAGCCACAGUCUACUCUGCAGUGAAAACUGAGGAAUUCAGUUAUGGACAAAGAGUGAUCAGACCAAAGAAGAUUAGAGACUUUAAACCAGAGCCAGACGUCGUCUAUUCUUCACUGAAGUAGUCCACCAGUCAAACCACUGACGUCCAGCUGCUGGUCUCUAACUGGUCUACCAAGCACCUCAGACCAGAGGACAUCCACAUGUUACGGAUUUUUAUAUGUUUUAUGUCUUUUUAUCACUGAAUUAGGAUCACAGGACACAAAAUUACUCCUUUGGGGGAAUUUAUAAACAUGUUUUAUA